GACGAACGCUGGCGGCGUGCUUAACACAUGCAAGUCGAACGGAAAGGCCCUGCUUUUGUGGGGUGCUCGAGUGGCGAACGGGUGAGUAACACGUGAGUAACCUGCCCUUGACUUUGGGAUAACUUCAGGAAACUGGGGCUAAUACCGGAUAGGAGCUCCUGCUGCAUGGUGGGGGUUGGAAAGUUUCGGCGGUUGGGGAUGGACUCGCGGCUUAUCAGCUUGUUGGUGGGGUAGUGGCUUACCAAGGCUUUGACGGGUAGCCGGCCUGAGAGGGUGACCGGCCACAUUGGGACUGAGAUACGGCCCAGACUCCUACGGGAGGCAGCAGUGGGGAAUAUUGCACAAUGGGCGGAAGCCUGAUGCAGCAACGCCGCGUGCGGGAUGACGGCCUUCGGGUUGUAAACCGCUUUCGCCUGUGACGAAGCGUGAGUGACGGUAAUGGGUAAAGAAGCACCGGCUAACUACGUGCCAGCAGCCGCGGUGAUACGUAGGGUGCGAGCGUUGUCCGGAUUUAUUGGGCGUAAAGGGCUCGUAGGUGGUUGAUCGCGUCGGAAGUGUAAUCUUGGGGCUUAACCCUGAGCGUGCUUUCGAUACGGGUUGACUUAAGGAAGGUAGGGGAGAAUGGAAUUCCUGGUGGAGCGGUGGAAUGCGCAGAUAUCAGGAGGAACACCAGUGGCGAAGGCGGUUCUCUGGGCCUUUCCUGACGCUGAGGAGCGAAAGCGUGGGGAGCGAACAGGCUUAGAUACCCUGGUAGUCCACGCUGUAAACGGUGGGUACUAGGUGUGGGGUCCAUUCCACGGGUUCCGUGCCGUAGCUAACGCUUUGAGUACCCCGCCUGGGGAGUAUGGCCGCAAGGCUAAAACUCAAAGGAAUUGACAGGGCCCCGCACAAGCGGCGGAGCAUGCGGAUUAAUUCGAUGCAACGCGUAGAACCUUACCUGGGUUUGACAUGGAUCGGGAGUGCUCAGAGAUGGGUGUGCCUCUUUUGGGGUCGGUUCACAGGUGGUGCAUGCCUGUCGUCAGCUCGUGUCGUGAGAUGUUGGGUUAAGUCCCGCAACGAGCGCAACCCUUGUUCACUGUUGCCAGCACGUUAUGGUGGGGACUCAGUGGAGACCGCCGGGGUCAACUCGGAGGAAGGUGGGGAUGACGUCAAGUCCUCAUGCCCCUUAUGUCCAGGGCUUCACGCAUGCUACAAUGGCUGGUACAGAGAGUGGCGAGCCUGUGAGGGUGAGCGAAUCUCGGAAAGCCGGUCUCAGUUCGGAUUGGGGUCUGCAACUCGACCUCAUGAAGUCGGAGUCGCUAGUAAUCGCAGAUCAGCAACGCUGCGGUGAAUACGUUCCCGGGGCU
rnacentral:rRNA from 1 species